GAUGAACGCUAGCGGCAGGCUUAAUACAUGCAAGUCGAGGGGCAGCAUGGUGUAGCAAUACACUGAUGGCGACCGGCAAACGGGUGCGGAACACGUACAGAACCUUCCUUCGAGCGGGGAAUAGCCCAGAGAAAUUUGGAUUAAUACCCCAUAGUAUAUUGGAGUGGCAUCACUUUAGUAUUAAAGAUUUAUCACUUGAAGAUGGCUGUGCGGCUGAUUAGGUAGUUGGCGGGGUAACGGCCCACCAAGCCUGCGAUCAGUAACUGGUGUGAGAGCACGACCAGUCACACGGGCACUGAGACACGGGCCCGACUCCUACGGGAGGCAGCAGUAAGGAAUAUUGGUCAAUGGACGAAAGUCUGAACCAGCCAUGCCGCGUGGAGGAUGAAGGUCCUCUGGAUUGUAAACUCUUUUAUAUGGGACGAAAAAAGGGCUUUCUAGCUCGUCUGACGGUACCAUAUGAAUAAGCACCGGCUAACUCCGUGCCAGCAGCCGUACGG
rnacentral:rRNA from 1 species